rnacentral:rRNA from 1 species
CGCCCGGGGCGCGCCCCGGGCGGGGCGGGGGCACGGGGGGAACCGUCGACAGUCAGGUAACGAGCGAGAUCUGUGCGCACAAUUGCCAACGAGUUUUAUGAUCGGGCACAAUGUGCGGACUGCCUUGGAAACAAGGAGGAAGGUGCAGGCUACGAUAGGUCUGUAUGCCCCGAAUCUUCUGGGCUACACGCGCGCAACAAUGGUAAGGACAAUGGGCUGCAACACCGUAAGGUGAAGCUAAUCCUCGAAACCUUAUCUUACUACAGAUUGAGGGCUGUAACUCGCCCCCAUGACGCUGGAAUCCCUAGUAAUCAGAGGUCAUCAUCCUCUGGUGAAUAUGUCCCUGCUCCUUGCACGAAUUCGCCG